UACGUAGGGGGCAAGCGUUGUCCGGAAUUAUUGGGCGUAAAGAGCUCGUAGGUGGUUCGGUAAGUCGGAUGUGAAAUCUCCAGGCUCAACCUGGAGGGGUCAUUCGAUACUGCCGUGACUAGAGUUCGGUAGGGGAGUGUGGAAUUCCUGGUGGAGCGGUGAAAUGCGCAGAUAUCAGGAGGAACACCCGUAGCGAAGGCGGCACUCUGGGCCGAUACUGACACUGAGGAGCGAAAGCGUGGGGAGCGAACAGG
rnacentral:rRNA from 1 species